UGUUCGUCUGCCAGGGGACUGACUCUCUAACACCCUCUGCCACCAACAUCUGCACAGAAUAGAAUGCCUUGGAGGGUCGGAUGAGAAAAGAACUCCCUCCCAAGGGGGCGAGAAAGAUAGUGUUUCUGUUUGAAGCCACAGAGUAUGUAAGAGAAAGUGUCGAGGGAGCCACACCAAGGAGCCAUGGUGAUGGGCCACGCUUCAGGCUAAGAGGGAUCCGAGGCCAGCUCACAAAGCUUUGAAAUCAGGCCCAAGCGUCACAUAGAGUCCUAAGUCUUGCAAGAUUUCUGAAGUUGAAAUUGCCGGGAAAGCAGUCUGAUGGUGAGGGGUGGACACCUGAUUUCCCGAAGUCACGCCCGCCGGCCGGGGGACCAGGAAGCGCUGGGCGUGCGCACUGGCCAGAAGACCAGCUCAGAGGCGAUCACGGCGGGGUCAGGCCGCAGGUCUAAGAAGGAGGAGGAUCUAUUAGUGGAAGUUGCUGACAAGGGUGUCUCCUGUGACUGCAAGGGGGCACACGGGAUGCGGUGACCU